CCUACGGGGGGCUGCAGUGGGGAAUCUUGCGCAAUGGGCGGAAGCCUGACGCAGCGACGCCGCGUGCGGGACGAAGGCCUUCGGGUCGUAAACCGCUUUCAGCAGGGACGAGGCCCUCACGGUGACGGUACCUGCAGAAGAAGCCCCGGCUAACUACGUGCCAGCAGCCGCGGUAAUACGUAGGGGGCGAGCGUUAUCCGGAUUCAUUGGGCGUAAAGCGCGCGUAGGCGGCCUGUUAGGUCGGGGGUCAAAUACCGGGGCUCAACCCCGGUCCGCCCCCGAUACCGGCAGGCUUGAGUCUGGUAGGGGAAGGCGGAAUUCCCAGUGUAGCGGUGGAAUGCGCAGAUAUUGGGAAGAACACCAGUGGCGAAGGCGGCUUACUGGACAGUAACUGACGUUGAGGCUCGAAAGCGUGGGGAGCAAACAGGAUUAGAUACCCCGGUAGUC
rnacentral:rRNA from 1 species